rnacentral:rRNA from 1 species
UACGUAGGGAGCAAGCGUUGUCCGGAAUCAUUGGGCGUAAAGCGCGCGUAGGUGGCUCUGUAAGUCCGUUGUGAAAGUCAAAGGCUCAACCUUUGAAAGCCGAUGGAUACUGCAGAGCUAGAGUACGGAAGAGGCGAGUGGAAUUCCUGGUGUAGCGGUGGAAUGCGCAGAUAUCAGGAGGAACACCGGUGGCGAAGGCGGGUCUCUGGGCCGUAACUGACGCUGAGGAGCGAAAGCAUGGGGAGCGAACAGG